rnacentral:piRNA from 1 species
UCCGAGUUUCUUUUCAAAAAA